rnacentral:rRNA from 1 species
AUUGAACGCUGGCGGCAGGCCUAACACAUGCAAGUCGAGCGAGCGGCGGACGGGUGAGUAAUGUAUGGGGAUCUGCCUGAUGGAGGGGGAUAACUACUGGAAACGGUAGCUAAUACCGCAUACCAUCAGUUGAGCCCUGAUGGGAUUAGCUUGUAGGUGGGGUAAAGGCUCACCUAGGCGACGAUCCCUAGCUGGUCUGAGAGGAUGAUCAGCCACACUGGGAUUGAGACACGGCCCAGACUCCGACGGGAGGCAGCAGUGGGGAAUAUUGCACAAUGGGCGCAAGCCUGAUGCAGCCAUGCCGCGUGUAUGAAGAAGGCCUUCGGGUUGUAAAGUACUUUCAGUCGGGAGGCGUUACCGACAGAAGAAGCACCGGCUAACUCCGUGCCAGCAGCCGCGGUAAUUC